GACGAACGCUGGCGGCGUGCUUAACACAUGCAAGUCGAGCGGAAAGGCCCUUCGGGGUACUCGAGCGGCGAACGGGUGAGUAACACGUGGGCAACCUGCCCCUAGCACUGGGAUAACCCCGGGAAACCGGGGCUAAUACCGGAUAUGACCAUCGGCGGACAUCCGCCGCGGUGUAAAGGAUUCUGGCUAGGGAUGGGCCCGCGGCCUAUCAGCUUGUUGGUGGGGUAACGGCCUACCAAGGCGACGACGGGUAGCCGGCCUGAGAGGGCGACCGGCC
rnacentral:rRNA from 1 species